rnacentral:piRNA from 1 species
UGCGUGCAUGAGUGAGUAUCUUUUGGCUC